rnacentral:rRNA from 1 species
UACUCGAGUGGCGAACGGGUGAGUAACACGUGGGUGAUCUGCCCUGCACUUCGGGAUAAGCUUGGGAAACUGGGCCUAAUACCGGAUAGGACCGCACUUUAGUGUGUGUGGUGGAAAGUUUUUUCGGUGUAGGAUGAGCUCGCGGCCUAUCAGCUUGUUGGUGGGGUAAUGGCCUACCAAGGCGGCGACGGGUAGCCGGCCUGAGAGGGUGUACGGCCACAUUGGGACUGAGAUACGGCCCAG